rnacentral:rRNA from 1 species
CUACGGGCGGCUGCAGUGGGGAAUCUUAGACAAUGGGGGCAACCCUGAUCUAGCCAUGCCGCGUGAGUGAUGAAGGCCUUAGGGUCGUAAAGCUCUUUCGCCUGUGAUGAUAAUGACAGUAGCAGGUAAAGAAACCCCGGCUAACUCCGUGCCAGCAGCCGCGGUAAUACGGAGGGGGUUAGCGUUGUUCGGAAUUACUGGGCGUAAAGCGCGCGUAGGCGGAUUAGAAAGUUGGGGGUGAAAUCCCGGGGCUCAACCCCGGAACUGCCUCCAAAACUGCUAGUCUAGAGUUCGAGAGAGGUGAGUGGAAUUCCGAGUGUAGAGGUGAAAUUCGUAGAUAUUCGGAGGAACACCAGCGGCGAAGGCGGCUCACUGGCUCGAUACUGACGCUGAGGUGCGAAAGUGUGGGGAGCAAACAGGAUUAGAUACCCUGGUAGUC